CACGUAGGGGGCGAGCGUUGUCCGGAUUUACUGGGCAUAAAGCGCGCGUAGGUGGUCGUGUAAGCGGGGGAUGAAAGCCCAUGGCUCACCCAUGGAACUGUCCCCCGGACUGCACGGCUCGAGGAAGGAAGGGGAGCAUGGAAUUCCCGGUGUAGCGGUGAAAUGCGUAGAUAUCGAGAGGAACACCUGCGGCGAAGGCGGGUAGCUGGGCCGACACUGACGCUGAGGCGCGAAAGCCAGGGGAGCGAACGGG
rnacentral:rRNA from 1 species